GAUGAACGCUAGCGGCAGGCCUAACACAUGCAAGUCGAGGGGCAGCACAGAAACAGCAAUGUUUUGGUGGCGACCGGCGGACGGGUGCGUAACGCGUAUGCAACCUACCUUUAACAGGGGGAUAACGGAGAGAAAUUUCCACUAAUACCCCAUAACAUCGAUCAAGGCAUCUUGAUUGGUUGUAAACUCCGGUGGUUAAAGAUGGGCAUGCGUUGUAUUAGGUAGUUGGUGAGGUAAUGGCUCACCAAGCCUACGAUACAUAGGGGGACUGAGAGGUUAGCCCCCCACACUGGUACUGAGACACGGACCAGACUCCUACGGGAGGCAGCAGUGAGGAAUAUUGGUCAAUGGGGGCAGCCCUGAACCAGCCAUGCCGCGUGCAGGAAGACGGCUCUAUGAGUUGUAAACUGCUUUUAACCAGGGAUAAAGCACAGUAUGUAUACUGUGUUGAAGGUACUGUAAGAAUAAGGAUCGGCUAACUCCGUGCCAGCCGCCGCCGUAA
rnacentral:rRNA from 1 species